rnacentral:lncRNA from 1 species
CAUAGAUGAACGUGACACCAUUCAAUAAAAUUCAUUAUGUGAUAGAAAAAAUCAAGGAAGACAAACCAAAAUAUAUAUAAAAAAGAGACAGAAAUAACAUAAUAUACGGCAGAAAGGGGAGAGUGUGGUGGUCAACCUCUGAUUCUUAAUCUCCAUUAACAUGAAAAUUGUAUCACUUCCCUAGUGAAAAUACAAAAUUGAAACAAAGAAGAAUAGCAUUUAAAUAUGUCAUCAAGAGAAUCAAUUGAAACCAAAAGCUUAUCUCUUCAUGCAUUCCUAACUCAUCAUUUUUUUU